rnacentral:rRNA from 1 species
CGGAGUCGUGUGGUUUAAUUCGUUGCUACACGAGUACUACUGGUUGACAUAUAGGUUGUAGGGAACUGAAAGGGACCGACCCUUCGGGGAGCCUAUACAGGUUGUUGCAUGGCUGUCGUCAGCUCGUGUCGUGAGAUGUUCGGUUAAGUCCGCUAACGAGCGCAACCCUCGUCGUAUGUUAUAUGUGUCAUACGAGACUGCCGGUAAAAGCCGGAGGAAGGUGAGGAUGAUGUCAAGUCAGCAUGACCUUUAUAUCCAGGGCUACACACACGCUACAAUGGUCUGUACAAUGGGUAGCCAAGCCGCGAGGCGGAGCCAAUCCUGAAAGCAGGCCUCAGUUCAGAUUGCAGUCUGCAACUCGACUGCAUGAAGCCGGAGUUGCUAGUAACCGCAGGUCAGCAAUACUGCGGUGAAUACGUUCCCGGGUCUU